GACGAACGCUGGCGGCGUGCCUAACACAUGCAAGUCGAGCGAGUGAAUCUCCUUCGGGAGUGAAGCUAGCGGCGGACGGGUGAGUAACACGUGGGCAACCUGCCUCAUAGAGGGGAAUAGCCUUCCGAAAGGAAGAUUAAUACCGCAUAAGAUUGUAGCUUCGCAUGAAGUAGCAAUUAAAGGAGCAAUCCGCUAUGGGAUGGGCCCGGGGCGCAUUAGCUAGUUGGUGAGGUAACGGCUCACCAAGGCGACGAUGCGUAGCCGACCUGAGAGGGUGAUCGGCCACAGUGGGACUGAGACACGGCCCAGACUCCGACGGGAGGCAGCAGUGGGGAAUAUUGCACAAUUGGGGAAACCCUGAUGCAGCAACGCCGCGUGAGUGAUGACGGCCUUCGGGUUGUAAAGCUCUGUCUUCAGGGACGAUAAUGACGGUACCUGAGGAGGAAGCCACGGCUAACUACGUGCCAGCAGCCGCGGUAA
rnacentral:rRNA from 1 species